GUCACUGGCUCAGGAUGAACGCUAGCUACAGGCUUAACACAUGCAAGUCGAGGGGCAGCAUGUUGGUUGCUUGCAACCGAUGAUGGCGACCGGCGCACGGGUGAGUAACGCGUAUCCAACCUACCCUUGUCCAUCGGAUAACCCGUCGAAAGGCGGCCUAACACGAUAUGCGGUUCACAGCAGGCAUCUAACGUGAACGAAAUGUGAAGGAGAAGGAUGGGGAUGCGU
rnacentral:rRNA from 1 species